rnacentral:rRNA from 1 species
CCGUACACAAAAGCGCAUGUGCUGUGAGCUCGAUGAGUAGGGCGGGACACGUGGUAUCCUGUCUGAAUAUGGGGGGACCAUCCUCCAAGGCUAAAUACUCCUGACUGACCGAUAGUGAACCAGUACCGUGAGGGAAAGGCGAAAAGAACCCCGGCGAGGGGAGUGAAAAAGAACCUGAAACCGUGUACGUACAAGCAGUGGGAGCACAGGUUUACCUGUGUGACUGCGUACCUUUUGUAUAAUGGGUCAGCGACUUAUAUUCUGUAGCAAGGUUAACCGUAUAGGGGAGCCGGAGGGAAACCGAGUCUUAAUUGGGCGUUAAGUUGCAGGGUAUAGACCCGAAACCCGGUGAUCUAGCCAUGGGCAGGUUGAAGGUUGGGUAACACUAACUGGAGGACCGAACCGACUAAUGUUGAAAAAUUAGCGGAUGACCUGUGGCUGGGGGUGAAAGGCCAAUCAAACCGGGAGAUAGCUGGUUCUCCCCGAAAGCUAUUUAGGUAGCGCCUCGUGAAUUCAUCUCCGGGGGUAGAGCACUGUUUCGGCUAGGGGGCCAUCCCGGCUUACCAACCCGAUGCAAACUGCGAAUACCGGAGAAUGUUAUCACGGGAGACACACGGCGGGUGCUAACGUCCGUCGUGAAGAGGGAAACAACCCAGACCGCCAGCUAAGGUCCCAAAGUCAUGGUUAAGUGGGAAACGAUGUGGGAAGGCCCAGACAGCCAGGAUGUUGGCUUAGAAGCAGCCAUCAUUUAAAGAAAGCGUAAUAGCUCACUGGUCGAGUCGGCCUGCGCGGAAGAUGUAACGGGGCUAAACCAUGCACCGAAGCUGCGGCAGCGAACGUAUCACCCAAGACAACUUUACGGAGUUGACGAUUGACGGAGCGAAGCGACGUCAAAGCGUUCAUUAAAGUCGAGUUGGCUUAGGGAUACGUUCGUUGGGUAGGGGAGCGUUCUGUAAGCCUGUGAAGGUGUGUCGUGAGGCAUGCUGGAGGUAUCAGAAGUGCGAAUGCUGACAUAAGUAACGAUAAAGCGGGUGAAAAGCCCGCUCGCCGGAAGACCAAGGGUUCCUGUCCAACGUUAAUCGGGGCAGGGUGAGUCGACCCCUAAGGCGAGGCCGAAAGGCGUAGUCGAUGGGAAACGGGUUAAUAUUCCCGUACUUGGUGUUACUGCGAAGGGGGGACGGAGAAGGCUAUGUUGGCCGGGCGACGGUUGUCCCGGUUUAAGCGUGUAGGUGUGUGUUCCAGGUAAAUCCGGUUCACUUUAACACUGAGGCGUGACGACGAGGCACUACGGUGCUGAAGCAACAAAUGCCCUGCUUCCAGGAAAAGCCUCUAAGCAUCAGGUAACAUCAAAUCGUACCCCAAACCGACACAGGUGGUCAGGUAGAGAAUACCAAGGCGCUUGAGAGAACUCGGGUGAAGGAACUAGGCAAAAUGGUGCCGUAACUUCGGGAGAAGGCACGCUGACACGUAGGUGAAGUGAUUUACUCAUGGAGCUGAAGUCAGUCGAAGAUACCAGCUGGCUGCAACUGUUUAUUAAAAACACAGCACUGUGCAAACACGAAAGUGGACGUAUACGGUGUGACGCCUGCCCGGUGCCGGAAGGUUAAUUGAUGGGGUCAGCGUAAGCGAAGCUCCUGAUCGAAGCCCCGGUAAACGGCGGCCGUAACUAUAACGGUCCUAAGGUAGCGAAAUUCCUUGUCGGGUAAGUUCCGACCUGCACGAAUGGCGUAAUGAUGGCCAGGCUGUCUCCACCCGAGACUCAGUGAAAUUGAACUCGCUGUGAAGAUGCAGUGUACCCGCGGCAAGACGGAAAGACCCCGUGAACCUUUACUAUAGCUUGACACUGAACAUUGAGCCUUGAUGUGUAGGAUAGGUGGGAGGCUUUGAAGUGUGGACGCCAGUCUGCAUGGAGCCGACCUUGAAAUACCACCCUUUAAUGUUUGAUGUUCUAACGUGGACCCGUAAUCCGGGUUGCGGACAGUGUCUGGUGGGUAGUUUGACUGGGGCGGUCUCCUCCUAAAGAGUAACGGAGGAGCACGAAGGUUGGCUAAUCCUGGUCGGACAUCAGGAGGUUAGUGCAAUGGCAUAAGCCAGCUUGACUGCGAGCGUGACGGCGCGAGCAGGUGCGAAAGCAGGUCAUAGUGAUCCGGUGGUUCUGAAUGGAAGGGCCAUCGCUCAACGGAUAAAAGGUACUCCGGGGAUAACAGGCUGAUACCGCCCAAGAGUUCAUAUCGACGGCGGUGUUUGGCACCUCGAUGUCGGCUCAUCACAUCCUGGGGCUGAAGUAGGUCCCAAGGGUAUGGCUGUUCGCCAUUUAAAGUGGUACGCGAGCUGGGUUUAGAACGUCGUGAGACAGUUCGGUCCCUAUCUGCCGUGGGCGCUGGAGAACUGAGGGGGGCUGCUCCUAGUACGAGAGGACCGGAGUGGACGCAUCACUGGUGUUCGGGUUGUCAUGCCAAUGGCACUGCCCGGUAGCUAAAUGCGGAAGAGAUAAGUGCUGAAAGCAUCUAAGCACGAAACUUGCCCCGAGAUGAGUUCUCCCUGAGACUUAGAGUCUCCUGAAGGAACGUUGAAGACGACGACGUUGAUAGGCCGGGUGUGUAAGCGCAGCGAUGCGUUGAGCUAACCGGUACUAAUGAACCGUGAGGCUUAACCUUACA